AUAUUUAAUUCUUCACUACAGUAGGAACCACAUUUCGAUGUUUGAUCAUGACUAGAUUUUGCAACUUCAGUCACUAAAUUUUGUUGACAGAAAACAAAGAUAUUUAUUUCCACUCUCAGGGUUAAAAUAGGCAGACAGUAUAAAUAUUGUAGAGAUUUUGAUUCAGACAUCUACAUCUGUCAUGAUGCAAUGGAAACUGGUUUUAGUAUCAAUUGUAAACAUGCAAGGCAACAGAAUCAUACACUAAUAUCUUUACACAGAGUUUGUGUAUUCAUAUGUGGAAAUUAUUAAAAAAAUGGGCCAAAGUCAUGAAAAGUUAUGGAAUUUUCUGAGUACCCAGUUACAUCAGUAUCUCACAUAACUGGAAUGUGUUUUAAUGCUAACGAUUUGUUCAUUUUAACAAACUGCACCCAUUUUGUUCCCUGGGUAACUGGUUUAUAUUUGGUCUGAUAUACAGUAUGUGUCCAGUUAUUUUGUAUGCAAAUAUCUGGAAUUCUCAUUCAACCAGUAAAAAUACAAAGAGAUUUACAGUUUUUAUAAGUUUAUUAAAAAAUAGUUUGUAAUACUCAUACCUCCACCCACCACGUGGUAUUUCUCCCACCUUCAUACUCCCUCAUGCAAGUUCUAUUGCAGUAGAGCCUAGCUGAAUUUGAGAUUGUGUUACAGUAUGUACGUAACAUCUUGUGUCAAUCCAUGUGUUGCUUCUGAAGACUCCCACCAAAGAAUGAAAGCAAAAACAUAUUGUUUUUAGUUUGUAUUGGGUUAGUGAAAGGUUGUCCUCAUGCAACUUGCAGAACUGUAGUACAUUUUUGCCAUUCUGUAUUUUACUGGAGUCUCAAGAAUGUGGACUGCAUGGCUGGGACUUGUGGUGAGUAGUGUGUUGUGGUGGUUGUAAUUUGUUGACAGAUGCUGUUGAAGAAGACUGCAUGGACUUCCAAGGCAAUAUAGUGAACCAUGGCCUCCUCUACGUCCCAGGUCCCAGCGUUUGUUCAUUGUGUGUGUGUUACCAUAGUGAGCCAAUGUGGUGCAAGGCCAUCUACUGUGAUCCACCCUAUUUUUGUAAGAGGUUCCGAGCAGGAGAAAGGUGCUGUGAAUUUGAGUGCCUAGAUGAACCGAGUCCCACAGGUGAUUUUUUAGCAGAUGUACCAAUGAAUACUGCAUUUGGUGCUGUUCCCACUCCAGUCCUUUCAUUGCUGCUGAUAACAAUUGUGAUUCUUUGGAAAGUCCUGUAAUAUUUACAUGAGGAAAGCAAGGUUGCACCUACAUAUCAUGCACUGAAGGAAGUGCAGGUCUUGCUGCAGUGUCUACCUGUCUUCAGCAGUGAAUCUCUUGUGGGAAGCCAGUUUCUUUUCCUGCUUGCUUUAAUGUCACGCAAUACCAAGUAGCACCAAGCAACAACUCUCUUGACAAUAAUACACAUUAUGGAUCAAUUGCUAUGGUUAUGUUUGCAUUAUUACAUUGACUCUCACCUGUGUGCGGAAUGUUGUUGAUCAAUUUCUACGAAAUAAUUCUGCAGUAUUAAACUUGAAGCUGUUCUUUGAUAAAUUGAAGUAGAAUGGGUAUUAUGGAAAGAGUGAGCCUGGCUGGUAAUAUUAACAUACUUGUAUCUUGAAAUUAUGGGGUAUAUAAGAGUAACCACAGAUUAAGUUAAAGUAACAGUUGUAUUUGAUAUUCUUCAUCCAAUUUAUGUUAUCAAUAUAGAUUUUAUACCAUCACAUAAGCAAACAAUGUAUUUUCACAUAUUUUCUCUGCCACAAUGAUUUGACCACAAGACCACGAUCACGUGGGUUAAUUUGUAUAACAUUUACAAUGUCUAUUGACUGUUCCAUUUUUGGUACAGUUGAGUUUAAAAAUAAAUGUCCAUUCCCUUGUGAUAUAUAUCAGUUACUGUCUUCAUAUAAACACUGUUUUAUGUAACAGAGUUAUACUAUUUACAUAUAAAGCAAAUUAAUUAAAAUUUAAUUAUGUAGGUGCUGGUUGUGUAGUUUAUUGGAUUGCAUAUCAUGUAUGUCAUUGCAUGUAACUCUCUACUCUGUAUUAAGAUACUAACUUUCGUUUAUUCUUUUCCUAAUUGUUCUGGAGUUAUCAGUUUUUUAUAAACUUAUAACAAGUCCAUUUUUCAUGUCUUAGUGUAAUAUUUCUACCUUCUACUUCUGUUCUAUUAUUGUUAGGAGCUGGUAUAUUUCAGUUGGUAUAGCUGCUAGGCUGCAGGCUGGAAAAGUGGGCAGUUGGGAUUUGAUUCUUGACAGAAGCAAGAGGGUUUGUCUUCACCACCACAUCCAGAACAUCUCUGGGAUCCACCCAGCCUCCUUUCCAAUGGGUAUCAUGGGGUGUUUUGCUGGAGGUAAAGCAGCCAGGGCAUGAAGCUGACCCAUCACUUCUAUCUAGUGCUAAGAUUAGCAAUAGGGGAGGUAUACCUUGGGCACAUAGACAACUUUACUUUUGUCUGUUGUUGUUGUUAUUGUUAUUAUAUUAUUAUUAUUAUUAUUAUUAUUAUUAUUAUUAUUAUUAUUAUAUACAAGCAAUGUGCACAUGCAGAUGUGAAAGCCUGUGGUCAUUGGCAAACUAUUAAGUGGUGCCUCAUGCAAACUCAUUGCAACGUAUAUGUGGAGAGGAUGCCCCUUGUAACUGAUGUUGAGAGGACAUCGUAUGUUGAUAGAGGGAUAUGUGUAUCACUUUCACUAUUUCAUUCUGAAUUUCUAUUGAAUUUAGUCAUUUGUAACGGCUGGUAUGGGUGGCUUUCUCUCUCAUGAUAUGGUAGAUGUCUGAUUUUGAUGUUCUAAUCAUCAUUACACUUCCUGUUUGCUGUGUCUGUUAUUUCUUUUUCAUCCCUUCUGUAAUUUUGAUCCUAAGCUAAUUAAUUAUUUGAUUUGGUCACAAUCAGGUACUUUGGAAGCAACAAAUUUGGUACAGAAGGGGUUUAUUUUUAUUCAAACUCAUGCAUGGUGUUACAAUAUACUGAAUUAGCUGAGCAGCACUGAUUCUGGACUUACACAAAUAGUCCUGUAUGUCAGAAAUGUUCAACAAAAAUUUAAAUUAAUUUUUUAAAAUUUAUUUCCUUGUUUACUUUCAAGAUAUUUUAUAGAGCUUUGGAGCAAGAGACAUUUUUUUACAGUGAGACUCUGAAGUUGAAUGUUUUUUAUGUUGGGGGUGUAUGACCAGGCUUUGAUUCCCGGUAGAGGCAGGACUUUUCUCAUUGCCACCAUUUCAAGGCUGGCCUUGGGACUCACAGAGCAUCCUGUCCAGUGGAGAGCAGUGUCUUCUUCUCCAGGAAUAAAGUGGUUGGUGCAUCAAGCCGACUAUUCACCACCGUAUGAUACUGAGACUAAUAACAUAUGAAGUUGCACUGCCAUUUUGUCAGUACAAUUUCAUGGAAUGAUGCUUAAUUAAAGAUAUGGAUAACUUUGUUUUUACAUUUUCAUGGAUCAGGGUCAACCUGGUGUUGGAGACAUGGAAGACCUUUCAAUGUUCAUUCUUAACUCAACCUGGAUGAUUGCCUGAGAAGCUUUUAGUGCAAAUAUCUGCUUGAUGAACAUUUAUAUGGAUAGUUCACAUAAUAAUUGUAUUAAUCCUUAGGCAUGAACAUUUAAAUACUGUAGUCGUGAGUGGCCCAUGGUAAUAAUUUUUAAAAGCCCAUUUAAUUCUUGUUCUAAAAUAUUUUAUUUUUUCAUAACUUCUGAACUAUGAGGUAUACUAAUUAAAUUUUCACUGGAAUCACUGGAAAA